AUGGGCCCGGCUGAGUAUGUAUAGGAUCUACCUAGUAGUACGGAAUAAUUGUUGGAAACGGCAACUAAUACCGUAUACGCCCUACGGGGGAAAAAUUUAUUGCUAUUAGAUGAGCCUAUAUUAGAUUAGCUAGUUGGUGGAGUAAUAGCCUACCAAGGCAAUGAUCUAUAGCUGAUCUGAGAGGAUGAUCAGCCACACUGGAACUGAGAUACGGUCCAGACUCCUACGGGAGGCAGCAGUGGGGAAUAUUGGACAAUGGGCGAAAGCCUGAUCCAGCCAUGCCGCAUGAGUGAAGAAGGCCUUUGGGUUGUAAAGCUCUUUUAGUGAGGAAGAUAAUGACGGUACUCACAGAAGAAGUCCUGGCUAACUCCGUGCCAGCAGCCGCGGUAAUACGGAGAGGGCUAGCGUUAUUCGGAAUUAUUGGGCGUAAAGGGCGCGUAGGCGGAUUAGUAAGUUAAAAGUGAAAUCCCAAGGCUCAACCUUGGAAUUGCUUUUAAAACUGCUAAUCUAGAGAUUGAAAGAGGAUAGAGGAAUUCCUAGUGUAGAGGUGAAAUUCGUAAAUAUUAGGAGGAACACCAGUGGCGAAGGCGUCUAUCUGGUUCAAAUCUGACGCUGAGGCGCGAAGGCGUGGGGAGCAAACAGGAUUAGAUACCCUGGUAGUCCACGCUGUAAACGAUGAAUGUUAAAUAUGGGAAGUUUUACUUUCUGUAUUACAGCUAACGCGUUAAACAUUCCGCCUGGGGACUACGGUCGCAAGAUUAAAACUCAAAGGAAUUGACGGGGACCCGCACAAGCGGUGGAGCAUGUGGUUUAAUUCGAUGCAACGCGAAAAACCUUACCACUCCUUGACAUGAAAC
rnacentral:rRNA from 2 species